UUAGAAAUUGAUUUUCUUCCUGUUUCAACCUACAGAUGGCACCUUUCACUUCAGGGUGGGUUUUCUAUUGAUCCUUGCUGCAAAAGGAAUGGAAAUCACCAUAAGUCGACUGUACCGGACUCACUCAAAUCACUGUCAUUGUCAUUGGCCAUGUUAGAUCAAGAUUCAUCAGAGUGAUGUGGAAAUAAAAGAAGAUUAACCACAUAGAAGCAGAACAGUCCUUUAACCAGAACAAAAGAGGGCAGCAAUCUCUCAGCAGGAGUGAAGACUGUGCACAGUGGGGUAGGGAGGUUGAGGACUUACAGGGCAGACCGGGAACUUUGGGUUGGAAGAGUUCAUCUGCAUGUCUGUUCCCCUGCAGCCAUGAGUGGUAGAUACUAAAGCGGUUGUAACAUUGUUGAUCACAUCAGGAACUUCCUGGAUCUAAUAUCCUGCCGAAGUUGUUAGCACUUUUCCUGUCUGGAGUUUCUCAGCCCACUUUCGGCUUUUAGAUCACUAACCCUUCAGACCACAUUCCCCUUCCACUUGCUUUUAAUUAUGAAGGGGCAACCUAGUACUGUCUCCCUCUUAUGCUUGCAUAGACAGUUGGGCUUUUUAAAAUAAUAAUAUUUGAACACAUAAAACAGUGAGAAUGUAUUCACAGGCCUGGGAGGAGAUGACAACCUCCCCCCACACACACACACUUCUGACUGAUGUUCCACAGUAGCUGAAUCACCGGACAGGAAGACGGGCAAAUGGUGUUUACUAACACAUCAGUUCAGGAAGAGGGAGCAAAACACAGGAACAGGAAGAUGGCUUUCAGAAGACGUAUUAUGAUAGGGCGCUUAUUAAAUAAACCUGAGUUCAAACAUAUCUCAUCCUGGAUAAUUAAGUUACAGCAUGCAGCCGUGCUGUGCUUGCUAUUUCCAAACCAGUUCCUGCUUAGCUUUCUGAAGCUUUCCAGAUAGUGUCAGUUGGGUAUUUCCACUGCUGCAAACACCCAAGCCCCAUGUUUCCUGUGUACUGUUCAAAACCUAUAUUGUUUAACAAAUAUUUGUUAUGUUCUUACCAUGUGUGCAAUACUAAAUUGUUUGAAAAUG